GAUGCGCAUACACAAGGACUGACUGCUUUCUGCGUUACAACAAAAGAAGAGCGGCCCGGUCCAUAGUGUGUGUGUACACACAGUGUUCUCCAAAACGAUACCAACAGGUACUUGAGGGCCUUCAAAGUGUCUAUACUCUCUCUCUCUCUACUUUCCCUUGGUCUAUUUUUCAAGUGUCGCUACUCAAACAGAACUCUGGCCGUUCGCUUUCCAUCCCCUGUGAAGACAUUGGCGAUGAUGGGGGUGGCAACUGGCGGCCUCCGUUAGAUUGAGUCUAUCCUCACUCGACUAGAAAUGAAGAAUCAAAUCAGAUCCAACAGUUUCUUCUUAGAAAUGGAUGAAACAUUCCGCAGAAUAGAAAGGCAGCGGAGCACAAACCAACAACAACCCGUUUAGCGCGUCAGCGGCAAGUGAUGUGUGUUACAUUGGCCAAUGCAGGAGAAAUUUCCAUAUUUCCAAUCGACUGCAGUACACACAUGUCAGAAGAUGCUUACACCCACUCCAUCACAACCCAAAUGGAGCGUUGCGUCAAUGUGAAACUCCAUCUCCAUUUUGCUGAGCUGUUUGUUUCCGCGUUUGUCUGAAAAUUUUUGUGUGUGUGUGUUGCCGGGCAUUAGCGGCUGGCGGCGGCAGCAGCAACAGGUUUGUGAUAUGCUGUGUAUUACAUUGAUUCGGAACAAGAAGUAUCGGCCAUCGAGGGUUGUACAUAUUGGGACGGCCAGAGGGGGAGGGAAAGGAGAUUUGUUGGAGAUGGUCAAAGGAGGUCAUCGCCACAGACAGAAUUGGCUUAGAUGGAUUGGGGAUGGAAGUAGCUGGUUGCAUUGAUCCGCUCGACUUGUCGCCCGUCAAUGAUGAUCAAGCUGAGGCACCAAGAGGAGCAAAAAGCACCUGGCCAAACCGGAGGAAGGGGAGAAAAACUCGCACGGCGGCAGCGCGGAGCCGACAGAAAACAACCUGUACAACAAUACCGAGAAGGUUUCCUUUUUUUGUUGUCCAGCAGAGAGAGAGAGAGAGAGAGAGAGAAAAACGGUCUGAAAAGAGGGAGAGGUUCACAUAGAAAGCCGGGCCAUAUCAUCUACAGGCACAAUGGAGAGUCAGGUGCAUACACACAGGGGCCAUCGUCAAUGGAAUGAGGUGCUGCUGCUGGUCAAGGUGAUCCCGAGUU